GCCAGAUUCCUUUAUCCCACCCUGAACUUCCCCUAGGUCACUGCAGCUUCAGCCCAAAGCAAGUGGCAAGCCAGGAGCCUGCAGCACCACUGGCAGAGGCCUUCACGACUGAAGGACAAAUCUGGAAGACAGCAUCCAAGGAACCAACUCAUUGUGCACAAUGCCACAUGACAAGAUGAUGGGGACAGUUCAGGUUUUCAUAGUCUCUGUCCUCUGUUGCAAGGCUUUAGUUACCUUUCUGCUACUACGUGAUCUUUCCCAGCAAGCUCUGCAGAAGAGCAGUGGCUGUGGAGAGGAUAAGAUGCCAUCUCUAAGACAGACUUUAUGAAUUGUUGUUGGGGCUUGAUAAUUUUUCAGUCACCUUAAACAGUCUUUUUCCUUCCUGCUCUUCUUCAUUCUAAUCACUCGGGAUUUCAAUGGAUUCAAGUCAUGGAGAGAUAAAAGAAUGAAUGUGAAUAGCAAGAUUUUGUCUCCUGUGUCUCAAGCAGAAGCAAGCUUCCUCCUGAGCAAGGCUGUUCUUUUCAGGGUGGGGAAGGGUAAGAUUUUUGUUUUUGUUUUGUUUCACUCAGUAUCCAAAUGCCAAAUAAUGAACUUCAUGUGAUAUCAGCUCAGGGAUCCCAAGCAUAGAGUUAUAGGGUUCCAUCCCACAGUGCAGUUUCUUGCAGCCAUCCCUUAGACGUGUGACACUGGACGCGCUAAUUUCCCUGCAGCUGGUGGGAGCCAACCUCCAGAUCUCUGUGCUGCUUUUAAUAACAGAGUGAGGAAAUCUCUUUGUAGAUAGAACUUUAGAGACAAAAUGCUUAAACACAGAGAGUGAUCAGCUUCUUGACCUCAGGCCAGUUUGCAGGGUGGAGAAUUAGGUCCAUGCUGAGAUCUGAAAGUCACUUAAUGAAGCAACUAGAAAGGC